rnacentral:tRNA from 1 species
AUUUAUAUAGUUUAACAAAACCUUAUAUUUUCAAUAUAAAAUUGAGAAAAUUUAACUACUCUAUAAAUU